rnacentral:rRNA from 1 species
GUGAGGAAUUUUCCGCAAUGGGCGAAAGCCUGACGGAGCAAUGCCGCGUGAAGGAUGAAGGCCUAUGGGUUGUAAACUUCUUUUCUCAGAAAAGAAUUAUGACGGUAUCUGAGGAAUAAGCAUCGGCUAACCCUGUGCCAGCAGCCGCGGUAAGACAGAGGAUGCAAGCGUUAUCCGGAAUGAUUGGGCGUAAAGCGUCUGUAGGUUGUUUAAAAAGUAUUCUGUCAAAGAUUAGGGCUUAACCCUAGAUAGGCAGAAUAAACUUUUAAGCUAGAGUUUGGUAGAGGCAGAGGGAAUUCCCGGUGGAGCGGUGAAAUGCGUAGAUAUCGGGAGGAACACCAAAGGCGAAGGCACUCUGCUGGGCCAAUACUAACACUGAGAGACGAAAGCGAGGGGAGCAAAUGGGAUUAGAUACCCGGGUAGUCC